GUCGUUCAGUGAUGAAGUGUGGAACAAGCACUGAGCGGUAUCUGACACGCGUGGGGAGUGGCUCUACCCUGUGUUUCUUCCGAGAGCGGC
rnacentral:snoRNA from 1 species